GCUGUGAUAUGUAUCAUUCUCUCUGGCAGCAAGAACUUUUACAAAAUUCUCAAACUAUGCCCAUGUUGUUAGCUUAAGAGUAGGUCUCCCACAAGUCUCCUACCUUCCUCCCACCACUCAGCUUCUACUCAGUACAAAUACCCAGCACAGCCUGGCCUGAGCUGGCAGUCACCUGCAAGAGUGGCUAAUUUAUACCCAAGUUUCAAGGAUUCUCAUGAAGACUAGCAUUCACCUGUAAGACCUUCUCAUCCUAUGUGGGGAUAUAGCAUAUUUUAGAAGAGAAUUAACAAAGAAAAAGGUGGCAAAGUGUUGGGGAGCACCCAUCAGAAAGAAGCAGCAACGCACAAAACAGUUGGGGUGCAAAGAGAUCUCUUUGCAAAGGAGGUCAACUCCCCUGACAGCUCACAGUUUGGAGCCCUGGCAUCCCCCUGGCUUGAACUCAGCAGGAGCAGCGUUAUUCGGCAGUGUUGACACCACAAAGCACAGCAGUCCAGAAAGACAAAAGGAGCCUGAAGAAUUAAAAACCUUCAUUACAGGGCCUCAUCCACCCUGCAUUAAAA